CCUACGGGAGGCACCAGUAGGGAAUCUUCGGCAAUGGACGAAAGUCUGACCGAGCAACGCCGCGUGAGUGAAGAAGGUUUUCGGAUCGUAAAACUCUGAUGUUAGAGAAGAACAAGUAGGAGAGUAACUGCUCUUACCUUGACGGUAUCUAACCAGAAAGCCACGGCUAACUACGUGCCAGCAGCCGCGGUAAUACGUAGGUGGCAAGCGUUGUCCGGAUUUAUUGGGCGUAAAGCGAGCGCAGGCGGUCUUUUAAGUCUGAUGUGAAAGCCCUCGGCUCAACCGAGGAAGGUCAUUGGAAACUGGAGGACUUGAGUGCAGAAGAGGAGAGUGGAAUUCCAUGUGUAGCGGGGAAAUGCGUAGAUAUAUGGAGGAACACCAGUGGCGAAGGCGAAUCUCUGGUCUGUAACUGACGCUGAGGCUCGAAAGCGUGGGGAGCAAACAGGAUUAGAUACCCCCGUAGUC
rnacentral:rRNA from 1 species